CAGUCGCCGCGGUAAUACGUAGGUCCCGAGCGUUGUCCGGAUUUAUUGGGCGUAAAGGGGGCGCAGGCGGUUUGGUAAGUCUGAAGUUAAAGGCAUUGGCUCAACCAAUGUAUGCUUUGGAAACUGUUAGACUUGAGUGCAGAAGGGGAGAGUGGAAUUCCAUGUGUAGCGGUGAAAUGCGUAGAUAUAUGGAGGAACACCGGUGGCGAAAGCGGCUCUCUGGUCUGUCACUGACGCUGAGGCUCGAAAGCGUGGGUAGCGAACAGGAUUAGAUACCCCCGUAGUCCCUGUCUCUUAUACA
rnacentral:rRNA from 1 species